UAGGGGGCAAGCGUUAUCCGGAUUUACUGGGUGUAAAGGGAGCGUAGACGGCGGUGCAAGUCUGAAGUGAAAGGCGGGGGCCCAACCCCCGGACUGCUUUGGAAACUGCAUGGCUGGAGUGCAGGAGGGGCAAGUGGAAUUCCUAGUGUAGCGGUGAAAUGCGUAGAUAUUAGGAGGAACACCAGUGGCGAAGGCGGCUUGCUGGACUGUAACUGACGUUGAGGCUCGAAAGCGUGGGGAGCAAA
rnacentral:rRNA from 1 species